CUUGGUGGUUAUAGCAUGAGUGAAACACACGAUCCC
rnacentral:rRNA from 1 species